rnacentral:tRNA from 1 species
GCCCCUGUAGCUCAACAGGAUAGAGCGACGGCCUCCUAAGCCGUAUGUCCGGGUUCAAGUCCUGGCGGGGGUACCA